UUUCGUAGUUGAAUUAUACAACCAA
rnacentral:rRNA from 2 species